AAAUCGCAAAUUGAUCUACCAAGUAAAAUUACAUAAGAAAAACUCCACCACGAUCAAAUAUAAAUAACCCAUGGGAUCUCCAUUCCUGUUCUCCAUCAGUUAUGUUCACCGUACACAACUUAUAACUGUGCCUGGCUAUAUUCUGGCAGUUGGCUAAGGCACAUUUAAUGAGCAUGUUUGCUGAAAUACAAUCAUUCAGAUAACAAAUGUUUCAAGUUGCUAAAAUCUGGAACUUGCAUUAUGCAUCUCCACUUUUUUGUUAUGCUAG
rnacentral:lncRNA from 1 species